rnacentral:rRNA from 1 species
AGCAGCCGCGGUAAUUCCAGCUCCAAUAGCGUAUAUUAAAGUUGUUGCAGUUAAAAAGCUCGUAGUUGAAUUUCGGGGUCAGUAGGUUGGUCGUGCCACUGGUAUGUACUGGCUCCACUGAUUCCUCCUUCUUGUAGAACCGUAAUGCCAUUAAUUUGGUGUUGCGAGGAAACAGGACUGUUACUUUGAAAAAAUUAGAGUGUUUAAAGCAGGCUAACGCCUGAAUACAUUAGCAUGGAAUAAUGAAAUAGGACGUUCGACCCUAUUUUGUUGGUUUCUAGGAUUGACGUAAUGAUUAAUAGGGAUAGUUGGGGGCAUUAGUAUUCAAUUGUCAGAGGUGAAAUUCUUGGAUUUAUUGAAGACUAACUACUGCGAAAGGCAUUUGCCAAGGAUGUUUUCAUUAAUCAAGAACGAAAGUUAGGGGAUCGAAGACGAUCAGAUACCGUCGUAGUCUUAACCAUAAACUAUGCCGACUAGGGAUCGGAUGGUGUUAAUUUUUUAAUGACUCAUUCGGCGCCUU